UACGUAGGGGGCAAGCGUUGUCCGGAAUUAUUGGGCGUAAAGAGCGCGUAGGCGGUCCGAUAAGUCGGCUGUGAAAGUCAGGGGCUCAACCCUUGGAAGCCGGCCGAUACUGUCGGACUAGAGUCCGGAAGAGGCGAGUGGAAUUCCCGGUGUAGCGGUGAAAUGCGCAGAUAUCGGGAGGAACACCAAUGGCGAAGGCAGCUCGCUGGGACGGUACUAACGCUGAGGCGCGAAAGCGUGGGGAGCAAACAGG
rnacentral:rRNA from 1 species